rnacentral:lncRNA from 1 species
AGAUUGACUGAUAAUCUGGUGGUGGUGGAGGCCAAGAGGACGGGCGGAGACGCCGCGCCGUUCAAGGAGAUGUGGAAGAACAAGCUCAGGCCUUAUCUGAUUUGCCCAAAUGAUCAAAGCAUCUCAUCGUCCAUGUCUUCUUCCUCCUCGCUCGCUUGCCCAGUCAACGAAUGCUGAUCGUGGGUGUCGUACGACAGGUCGUUUUCUGGAGUGGCAAUUAAAAUUAAUCAAGCAAUUAAUUAAUAAAAAAUGAAAAAAAAAAAUUGGUGAUGGUUUUGUUGUGUUUGUACUGGGAAAUAAAUAAAAAGAAAAGAUUACCAGCCGUUCUUGUAAUAUGGGGUUAAUACUGGGAUUAGUGAGAGGAGAUAUAUGUUUAUGUAUAGGUGAUAAUAUGUAGCCUUUGAUAGGCCUCAUCAACAGAGGAUGAAGGGUUGGAUUUAAUCGAAUCAAAACUCCCGACUCUUUUUGCAGUGCAUCUUGUAUAAUUGUAUUAAUUCAUUCUUUUUAUUAUUUCAAUUUCUGUGUUU